rnacentral:rRNA from 1 species
UACAGAGGUCCCAAGCGUUGUUCGGAUUCAUUGGGCGUAAAGGGUGCGUAGGUGGCGUCGUACGUCAGGUGUGAAAUCUCGGGGCUUAACUCCGAAACUGCAUUUGAUACUGCGGUGCUUGAGGACUGGAGAGGAGACUGGAAUUUACGGUGUAGCAGUGAAAUGCGUAGAGAUCGUAAGGAAGACCAGUGGCGAAGGCGGGUCUCUGGACAGUUCCUGACACUGAGGCACGAAGGCCAGGGGAGCAAACGGG